ensembl:snRNA
GUGCUGUAUGAAAGGAGAGAAGGUUAGAGCUCUCCUUGAUAAGGAUGGAAGAGGUCCUGGUGGCCUUUACAACACACAUGCAGUUAAGGCAUUGCCACCUACUCUGUGGCAUCUAACCAUGUUUUUCU